rnacentral:rRNA from 1 species
UCGUGGGGCAGCAGGGGCGUAGCAAUACGUUCGCUGGCGACCGGCAAACGGGUGCGGAACACGUACACAACCUUCCUUAAAGUGGGGGAUAGCCCGGGGAAACCCGGAUUAAUACCCCGUAACAUAAUGAAGUGGCAUCACUUUAUUAUUAUAGCAGCAAUGCGCUUAAAGAUGGGUGUGCGACUGAUUAGGCAGUUGGCGGGGUAACGGCCCACCAAACCUACGAUCAGUAACUGGUGUGAGAGCACGACCAGUCACACGGGCACUGAGACACGGGCCCGACUCCUACGGGAGGCAGCAGUAAGGAAUAUUGGUCAAUGGACGCAAGUCUGAACCAGCCAUGCCGCGUGGAGGAUGAAGGUCCUCUGGAUUGUAAACUUCUUUUACCUGGGAAGAAAUCCACAAAUUCUUUUGUGGUUGACGGUACCAGGUGAAUAAGCACCGGCUAACUCCGUGCCAGCAGCCGCGGUAAUACGGAGGGUGCAAGCGUUAUCCGGAUUCACUGGGUUUAAAGGGUGCGUAGGUGGGUUGGUAAGUCAGUGGUGAAAUCUCCAGGCUUAACUUGGAAACUGCCAUUGAUACUAUCAACCUUGAAUACCGUGGAGGUCAGCGGAAUAUGUCAUGUAGCGGUGAAAUGCUUAGAGAUGACAUAGAACACCAAUUGCGAAGGCAGCUGGCUACGCGGAUAUUGACACUGAUGCACGAAAGCGUGGGGAUCAAACAGGAUUAGAUACCCUGGUAGUCCACGCCCUAAACGAUGGAUACUCGACAUACGCGAUAUACAGUGUGUGUCUGAGCGA